ensembl:rRNA 5S_rRNA 5S ribosomal RNA
GUCUACGGCCAUAGCACCCUGAUCGUGCCCAAUCACAUCUGAUCUCGGAAGCUAAGCAGGUUCGGGCCUGGUUAGUACUUGGAUGGGAGAUUGUUUUGGCAUGCAAGACUAAGAAGGUA